GACGAACGCUGGCGGCGUGCUUAACACAUGCAAGUCGAACGGUGAAGCUCCAGCUUGCUGGAGUGGAUCAGUGGCGAACGGGUGAGUAACACGUGAGCAACCUGCCCCUGACUCUGGAAUAAGCGCUGGAAACGGCGUCUAAUACUGGAUAUGAGAAGGGUCCGCAUGGACACUUUCUGGAAAGUUUUUCGGUUGGGGAUGGGCUCGCGGCCUAUCAGCUUGUUGGUGAGGUAAUGGCUCACCAAGGCGACGACGGGUAGCCGGCCUGAGAGGGCGACCGGCCACACUGGGACUGAGACACGGCCCAGACUCCUACGGGAGGCAGCAGUGGGGAAUAUUGCACAAUGGGCGGAAGCCUGAUGCAGCGACGCCGCGUGCGGGAUGACGGCCUUCGGGUUGUAAACCUCUUUCAGCAGGGAAGAAGCGAAAGUGACGGUACCUGCAGAAGAAGCACCGGCUAACUACGUG
rnacentral:rRNA from 1 species